GCCUCGGUGAUGUAGUGGUAGCACGCGUUCUCGGUAUGAAUUAAACGCGGGUUCGACUCCCGUCCGGGGUC